UAGGGAAUCUUCCGCAAUGGGCGAAAGCCUGACGGAGCAACGCCGCGUGAGUGAUGAAGGUCUUCGGAUCGUAAAACUCUGUUAUUAGGGAAGAACAUAUGUGUAAGUAACUGUGCACAUCUUGACGGUACCUAAUCAGAAAGCCACGGCUAACUACGUGCCAGCAGCCGCGGUAAUACGUAGGUGGCAAGCGUUAUCCGGAAUUAUUGGGCGUAAAGCGCGCGUAGGCGGUUUUUUAAGUCUGAUGUGAAAGCCCACGGCUCAACCGUGGAGGGUCAUUGGAAACUGGAAAACUUGAGUGCAGAAGAGGAAAGUGGAAUUCCAUGUGUAGCGGUGAAAUGCGCAGAGAUAUGGAGGAACACCGGUGGCGAAAGCGGCUCUCUGGUCUGUAACUGACGCUGAGGCUCGAAAGCGUGGGAAGCGAACAGGAUUAGAUACCCUGGUAGUCCACGCCGUAAACGAUGAGUGCUAGGUGUUAGGUCCUUUCCGGGACUUAGUGCCGCAGCUAACGCAUUAAGCACUCCGCCUGGGGAGUACGACCGCAAGGUUG
rnacentral:rRNA from 1 species